rnacentral:lncRNA from 12 species
GCUGGUUCCUCCCAAAAUUCCUGGGUGCUGUUCCUGCUGUCCAACAGCUGCUCCAGGCUCUGGGAUGGAAGUCCUGGACCAGCCCUGGGGCUCGUUCCUGGAUUUCUUUGGCUGCUGCCACUGAGGGAAUCUCCGUGUUCCCUUGAGGAACAGAGAAUUCCCAGCACAAAUAAGAAAAGGAGGAAGGAGAACAGCCCGUGCUUCCCCCCAGGUACCCAGCAUGUGACCACACCUGGACUCUCUCACCUCAUUUCCAAACCCAACAUUUCAUUUUCCUGCUUUUUCCCGGCUCUGAGGAUGGUUCUCCUCCUUCCCAACACAGCAAUAAAUUACCCUGCAGUAUCAUGGCAAUGGUUAACCUUGAUUUGAGAUCAACACCUCCUUCCCUGCGAGGUCGAACUCCAAACAAUCCUUCGGAGGGGAAUCAAAUGAAAUCAGGAGCUGCUCCCUGAGCCACAAAGACUUUGCCUCCUUCUCCCGGAGAGCACCACAUUUUUCUGAUUUGGGCUGGUUUCAUGGCGGGACAAGGAAAUUGUGUAAGACAUGAGGGGAGAGAAGCGUUUUUGGGGAGCAGGGACACGAGGGGAGCCCCACACAAGGAGUGGGAUCUGCAGGGAGGGAUGGGGGAUGCUGUGGAUCCCAAAAUCAAAGGAAUAAAGUUUUCCUGAGCUCUUCCAUCAGGUUUUUUUCCCCUCACAGUGAGACACAGGCAGGCAGGGGAGGGGUUGGGGCAGCACAGGAGGGGACACCCCCAGGACUCCUCACAAAACCCAAAAAAACCCCAAAAAACCCCUGAUCAGCAGCACAGGAACUAAGUGAAGCUUCUUUGUGCUUUGGGGACAGUUUGGGGCUGCCAUAGGGACGAUUUGGGGCUGCUUUUGGGAACAAUUUGGGGCUGCUUUGGGGAAAGUUUAGGGCUCUUUUGGGGACAAUUUGGGGCUGCUAUAGGGACAUUUUGGGGGUCUUUUGGGUACCCUGCAGGGAAAACAGCCCUUUUGCCCAUGGAAUCUCCAACUCCAGGUCUGAUUAAACCUUCCUCUGCAUCACCAGCGGGUAAUUGCGGAGGGGAGGAAACUUUCGUGAGGGUGCCCGUCCUUUCGUGAGGGAGCCCACCUUUCCGUGAGGGUGCCCGUCCCUUUAUGAGGGAGCCCAUCCUUUCAUGAAGGAGCCCGUCCAUUUGUGAGGGUGCCCGUCCUUUCCUGAGGGAGCCCGUCCUGGCACAAGGGGUGGGUGCCAACUCUGAGGGGCUGUGAGCUCGCACAGGACACGGGACAUUCACAGGUGACACCCCGGGAGUGCCAGGAAUCGCUAAAUCUCCCCUUCCUUCCCCUCAGCACGCCUUUCUCCCCGCGGGCAGACGCCAAUGGCAGGGGGGGGGGGGGGGGGGGGGGGGGGGGGGGGGGGGGGGGGGGGGGGGGGGGGGGGGGGGGGGGGGGGGGGGGGGGGGGGGGGGGGGGGGG